GGAGACGUGGCCGAGAGGUUGAAGGUACUCCCCUGCUAAGGGAGCAUACGGACAAAACCCGUAUCGAGGGUUCGAAUCCCUCCGUCUCCGCCA
rnacentral:tRNA from 1 species